GCGGGCGUGGCGGAAUUGGUAGACGCGGCGGGUUUAGGUCCCGUUGAGCUUCGGCUCUUGGAGGUUCAAGUCCUCUCGCCCGCA
rnacentral:tRNA from 1 species